UUAAGCCGUCUGGUCCAGGAGAUUUAUUACCUGGCAUCUUAAAGAUAACUGCUCGCACUUCCUCCUCCGUGACCUCCCUUUCCAACAUAGACCUAUCCCCUUCACUGCAUUUAAACUUUAACAACUCCUCCAAUUUUUCACGUGUUGUUCCUUCAUACUCUGGUGGAGAGUAGUUUAGGAAAUCAUGAAAAAAUCUCUCAGCUUCUUGUUUCACAUUCUCUCCCUUCACAACAGUCCCAUCUUCACACAAGAUCUCUCUGAUUGAGUUUUGAAUCUCUCUAAUUUUUACUGCAUUAUGAAACACUCUAUUAUACUCAUCAUAUCACUAUAUAAGACAUCUACGGGACGUGAAUGAAAGACCACAAAUACCUGCACUCGAAAAACAAAAAGAAAGUUACCUCUCCUAUACUUUCAAUGGCCGCAUACAGCCCUGUAUCAGAGUCGAAGCCAUACAAAUCCAUGUGGAAGAUUAAGACCAAGAUAAUUAUACUUUGGAAACAAUAUUAGGUGGCUGGUGGUCUCACGGCUCUCACCAUUGAGAUGGUCUUAAUUGAUUCUAACGUGAGACUAUUUCAACUGUACAUUUGUCUAUUUUACCUUGCCACUAUUUUAACAUAUUGUUUUAACGGAUUUGUUUUAUUAAUUUAUACAGGCUGAUUCAUGCUACUGUCAAGAAAGAUUUAGU
rnacentral:lncRNA from 1 species